rnacentral:misc_RNA from 1 species
CAAAGGACUUUACCGACAGUUUUACGCAUUGUUUUACCACUUGGCCGCCCUCAUGUAGGGCUUCCGUGCUAAUUAUGUCGAAAAACAGUAGAUCGGGGCCAAAAACGGAAAGCGCUGUUGUAGAAGUGAAGAGUAAGGGGUGAAGACAAAAUGCAGCUUGAUUUGCAAGAGGGGGCAAAAUCUCCAGUACAGGAUUUCUUCAGGAGUGGCUGUCCUCCUACAGACGAAGCAUGCACACGUGUGCGUUUUAAGUUGAUAUUGUAAAUGAUACAAAUAAAGAUCCAAAGAAAAAUAAAUCUGU